UACGUAGGGCGCAAGCGUUGUCCGGAAUUAUUGGGCGUAAAGAGCUCGUAGGCGGCUUGUCACGUCGGGUGUGAAAACCCAGGGCUUAACCCUGGGCUGGCUUCCGAUACGGGCAGACUAGAGGUAUGCAGGGGAGAACGGAAUUCCUGGUGUAGCGGUGAAAUGCGCAGAUAUCAGGAGGAACACCGGUGGCGAAGGCGGUUCUCUGGGCAUUACCUGACGCUGAGGAGCGAAAGUGUGGGGAGCGAACAGG
rnacentral:rRNA from 1 species